rnacentral:misc_RNA from 1 species
GAUGAAGAACGCAGCGAAAUGCGAUACUUGGUGUGAAUUGCAGAAUCCCGUGAACCAUCGAGUCUUUGAACGCAAGUUGCGCCCGAAGCCAUUAGGCCGAGGGCACGCCUGCCUGGGCGUCACACGUCGUUGCCCCCCCAUCUACUCCUUCGGGAUUGCGGGGGGCGGAUGAUGGCCUCCCGUGCGCCUCGCCGCGCGGUUGGCAUAAAUGCCAAGUCCUCGGCGACGCACGCCACGACAAUCGGUGGUUGCGAAACCUCGGUUGCCCGUCGUGUGCGGUCGUCGCGCAUCGAGGGCUCGAAAAAAGUGCCGGGUUCCGGCUCGGCUUUCAACGCGACCCCAGGUCAGGCGGGGUUACCCGCUGAAUUUAAGCAUAUCAAUAAGCGGAGGA